UACGGGGGGGAGCAAGCGUUGUUCGGAUUUACUGGGCGUAAAGGGCGCGUAGGCGGUCGUGACAAGUCACUUGUGAAAUCUCCGGGCUUAACUCGGAAAGGUCAAGUGAUACUGUCGGACUAGAGUGCAGAAGGGGCAACUGGAAUUCUCGGUGUAGCGGUGAAAAUGCGUAGAUAUCGAGAGGAACACCUGCGGCGAAGGCGGGUUGCUGGGCUGAUACUGACGUGAGGCGCGAAAGCCAGGGGAGCGAACGGG
rnacentral:rRNA from 1 species